rnacentral:lncRNA from 1 species
UUUGUCUCCCGCUGGUGCUGGCACAGGAACUUGGGAUCUGUCUCCUCUUUCGCCUCCUGCACCUUGGGAGCCCCGGGCUACUCUCUCACAGCCCUUGUUGCCCUGCGAUCUGUAGGUCCUUGGGGACGCAUAGUUAAGGUGCCAGGACAUCCUGGAAGCUGGGAAAUGUGUGAAGAUUUCUUCCAGACCAUGGCUGGAGAAGGAAAGAAGGUGUGUUUUGCCUGAUUCAGGGACUAUAGAGAGAACCAAGUUCUGCAGGCCUGUCACCUAAGUAUCAGGGCGGAGAGACCUUCCUUCCCCACGGGUUUGAGACUAUGGCUAAGUGGUGAGCCUUGGGGAGAUGCAGAAAGGAUCCAUCCCAGGCACUUGGCUAGAGGUAAGUAAAAAUAGCCUUUGGGUCAGAAGACCUGAUAGUUUGGGUACUCGUCUGAACAUAAGUCCCCAUCUUCCCAGAAAUGUCGUCUUUUGUCUGCAACAACUGGCUGGAGAAAUAUUUCAGAAAGAUGUGUGCCUGGAACACCCAAAGGCGUACCUUUCCUUUCUCCUUGGCAUAGGCCUUGCAGCACUGAGGAAAGACCAGGUUUGCAACGGAGCCUUCAAUACUCUUCAUCCCUAUGGAUCUCAGGGGCUCAUAGGGUGACAGGAGAGGAGACAAGCUAGCUUGGGAAGAGUCUUUGUCCUUCAGCUUCUCCCCAACUGAAACACUAUAUACUUGGGGCCACAGUUCAUAGCAAAACACACAUGCUCUCUUUCUUUGUCUCACACUCACAUCUCGGGAACCCAACAACUUGAUGGCAGGUAGCUCUGGGUAUCCUUGGUCUGGCAUUCACCCACUGGGCAUCUAAGCUGUCCUAAAGCUCUUUUCAAUCACUUCUCACUCUUUCCAGGCCCAUGUGGGUAGGUGUUCCAGGCUUCACUCUUUC